AUUGAACGCUGGCGGCAGGCCUAACACAUGCAAGUCGAGCGGAGCGGCGGACGGGUGCGUAAUGCCUAGGAAUCUGCAUGGUAGUGGGGGAUAACGUCCGGAAACGGGAGCUAAUACCGCAUACUAUCAGAUGAGCCUAGGUCGGUUUAGCUAGUGGGUGGGGUAAAGGCCUACCAAGGCGACGAUCGGUAACUGGUCUGAGAGGAUGAGCAGUCACACUGGAAUGGAGAACCGGUCCAGACUCCUACGUGAGGCAGCAGUGGGGAAUAUUGGACAAUGGGCGAAAGCCUGAUCCAGCCAUGCCGCGUGUGUGAAGAAGGUCUUCGGAUUGUAAAGCACUUUAAGUUGGGAGGCGUUACCAACAGAAUAAGCACCGGCUAACUUCGUGCCAGCAGCCGCGGUAAUUC
rnacentral:rRNA from 1 species